rnacentral:rRNA from 1 species
UACGAAGGGGGCUAGCGUUGCUCGGAAUCACUGGGCGUAAAGCGCACGUAGGCGGAUUGUUAAGUCAGGGGUGAAAUCCUGGAGCUCAACUCCAGAACUGCCUUUGAUACUGGCGAUCUUGAGUCCGGGAGAGGUGAGUGGAACUGCGAGUGUAGAGGUGAAAUUCGUAGAUAUUCGCAAGAACACCAGUGGCGAAGGCGGACUCACUGGCCCGGUACUGACGCUGAGGUGCGAAA